CCUACGGGGUGCAGCAGUGGGGAAUAUUGGACAAUGGGCGAAAGCCUGAUCCAGCCAUGCCGCGUGUGUGAAGAAGGCCUUCGGGUUGUAAAGCACUUUCAGUGGGGAAGAAAGCCUUGGGGCUAAUACCCUCGAGGAAGGACAUCACCCACAGAAGAAGCACCGGCUAACUCCGUGCCAGCAGCCGCGGUAAUACGGAGGGUGCGAGCGUUAAUCGGAAUUACUGGGCGUAAAGCGCGCGUAGGCGGUCUGAUAAGCCGGUUGUGAAAGCCCCGGGCUCAACCUGGGAACGGCAUCCGGAACUGUCAGGCUAGAGUGCAGGAGAGGAGGGUAGAAUUCCCGGUGUAGCAGUGAAAUGCGUAGAGAUCGGGAGGAAUACCAGUGGCGAAGGCGGCCUUCUGGACUGACACUGACGCUGAGGUGCGAAAGCGUGGGUAGCAAACAGGAUUAGAUACCCUGGUAGUC
rnacentral:rRNA from 1 species